GGGAUAUGUUUUCCAUCCUCUUACCUAUUUAAUCAACAAAGGUCUUAAUGGAGAUGCAGUGGGCAGCUGGAUUCUUAAAAUGCCAGCUCCUUCCCAACAUCCUCUAAAUCAGACAUUUCUGUCUAAGCAUGCACCUGCAAAAAUGAUAUGUUGUUUUCCAGCUUCACUGCAAGAUCCUUGCCAGAAUUCAGGAUAGGUAUCUCAAGGAUAUCAUUACAAGUUCCAAAUAAUGCCAUCUUUCAUGCUUGAAAAGCCAUGACUGUCUGGUCCCUGCAGGGAGUAGCUGGUGCCUUCAGUGGGGAGGGGUUCGAGCGUGAGCAGCUCAGGAACGUUGUGGUCUACGGUUCAGCCACAUCCUUUGUGGUAAGAAACUGCAACAAAAUGUACUUUAUAUUUUUAUAAUCAGCUGGCUUUUAAAUUACAGCCAUGCUGAAUAAGAGCAGAGAAAACGUAUGAUUAGUAAUUUCCUUAUGCAGAAAGUAGAACAGUUUCUGGCUAAGGCCUAGGGCUUUAAAAAAAAGGUGCUUUUAGUAAAAAAAAGAAAAUGGAAAAUUCUUUAUUCCAAAGCCAAAGCAAUGGUUCAUGGCCUCCUUCUGAGCAGUAAUAGUCCAACUCCACGAGGAAGUGGAAAUGGAAAAGAUUAGCUUGGGAAAAUAUUCUAAGGGCUGUCUGCCUGCCCAGCCACUGUCACCUAUAUACUGAGCCACCUUCUCUGGUCCUUACAAGCACAGAAAAAUGGAUCUGUGGCAGUCAUGGUUCCUGGACUUCUAGAAAUGACUAUAUUCCAGGAGAUGCAGAAAUGCUACUGAACAUGGAUGUGCAGCACCACAGAAAACCUAUGUGGGAUCCUGAUCACCAGUGGAAGCCCGGCUCCUUAGAGAGCUAAGAUGGAACAAAGAAAAUUCCCAGGCCCGGGAACCACCAGAGGUACUACCUUAUUUGCUCAAAAGGUCACACUGAUUCAUGAGAAUUGGAGAGCCAGAAACGGAAGCCAGGCAGUGUGGUCCUAAGCUGAGGAUGAUGUUAUACACUGUGAGAGGCAGUGCACAUGGUCACAAGCAAAAUCAGGUUGGUAAGGCUCACAGGGAAUUACUGUAAGCCAUAAAAUCAUCCAGGGUGGCUUUCUGAUUAUUAGCUUCAAUUUCAAGAAGGAAGAGUGAGCAGGAAUCCCAAUGAAUACGAGAAAGAAUAAGACAGACAAAAAUGUAAGCGCCUAUCGGGCCAGGUGUGGUGGCUCAUGUCUGUAAUCCCAGCACUUUGGGAGGCCGAGGUGGGUAGAUCACCUGAGGUCAGGAGUUCAAGAUCAGCCUGACCAAUGUGGUGAAACCCUAUCUCUACUAAAAUACAAAAGUGGCUGGGCAUAGUGGUGGGCAC
rnacentral:lncRNA from 1 species